CCUGACUAAAGGAUUACUUUGAUAGAGUAAAUUAUGUAAUUUUAUUAC
rnacentral:tRNA from 1 species